AUACCCUGGUAGUCCAUACCGUAAACGAUGAAUGCUAAGUGUUGGAGGGUUCCGCCUUUCAGUGCUGCAGCUAACGCAUUAAGCAUUCCGCUGGGGAGUACGGCCGCAAGGCUGAAACUCAAAGGAAUUGACGGGGGCCCGCACAAGCGGUGGAGCAUGUGGUUUAAUUCGAAGCUACGCGAAGAACCUUACCAGGUCUUGACAUACUAUGCAAAUCUAAGAGAUUAGACGUUCCCUUCGGGGACAUGGAUACAGGUGGUGCAUGGUUGUCGUCAGCUCGUGUCGUGAGAUGUUGGGUUAAGUCCCGCAACGAGCGCAACCCUUAUUAUCAGUUGCCAGCAUUAAGUUGGGCACUCUGGUGAGACUGCCGGUGACAAACCGGAGGAAGGUGGGGAUGACGUCAAAUCAUCAUGCCCCUUAUGACCUGGGCUACACACGUGCUACAAUGGAUGGUACAACGAGUUGCGAACUCGCGAGAGUAAGCUAAUCUCUUAAAGCCGUUCUCAGUUCGGAUUGUAGGCUGCAACUCGCCUACAUGAAGUCGGAAUCGCUAGUAAUCGCGGAUCAGCAUGCCGCGGUGAAUACGUUCCCGGGCCUUGUACACACCGCCCGUCACACCAUGAGAGUUUGUAACACCCAAAGUCGGUGGGGUAACCUUUAGGAACCAGCCGCCUAAGGUGGGACAGAUGAUUAGGGUGAAGUCGUAACAAGGUAACCA
rnacentral:rRNA from 1 species